rnacentral:rRNA from 1 species
CUGCAGCUCAAGUGGUGACCACUAUUAUUGGGCCUAAAACGUUCGUAGCCGGUUUGGUAAAUGCAUGUGUAAAUCGUGUAGCUUAACUAUACGAAUUCCGGGUAGACUGCCAAACUUGAGACCGGGAGAAGCUAGAGGUACUCCUGGAGUAGAGGUGAAAUUCUGUAAUCCUGGGGGGACCACCAGUGGCGAAGGCGUCUAGCUAGAACGGGUCUGACGGUGAGGAACGAAGCCCUGGGGCGCAAACCGGAUUAGAUACCCGAGUAGUCC